rnacentral:rRNA from 1 species
UACGUAGGGGGCAAGCGUUGUCCGGAAUCAUUGGGCGUAAAGCGCGUGUAGGCGGCUCGGUAAGUCUGCUGUGAAAGUCCAGGGCUCAACCCUGGGAUGCCGGUGGAUACUGUCGAGCUCGAGUCCGGAAGAGGCGAGUGGAAUUCCCGGUGUAGCGGUGAAAUGCGCAGAUAUCGGGAAGAACACCCGUGGCGAAGGCAGCCUACUGGAGGUCAACCGACGCUCAGGCACGAAAGCGUGGGGAUCAAACAGG